GCUUGCUUUGGCAGCACAUACUAAAAUUGGAGCCACACGGAGAUGCUUGGUGUGCCCCUGCCCAAGGAUGACACCCAAAUUUGUGAAGCAUUUCAUAUUUUU